UUAAAUUGAAGAGUUUGAUCAUGGCUCAGAUUGAACGCUGGCGGCAGGCCUAACACAUGCAAGUCGAACGGUAACAGGAAGCAGCUUGCUGCUUCGCUGACGAGUGGCGGACGGGUGAGUAAUGUCUGGGAAACUGCCUGAUGGAGGGGGAUAACUACUGGAAACGGUGGCUAAUACCGCAUAAAGUUGCAAGAACAAAGGGGGGGAACUU
rnacentral:rRNA from 1 species